rnacentral:lncRNA from 1 species
AACGAACAAGCAUGCUAUAACAAAUGAACAAAAAAAACACAACUUUUUUUUUUCAGAUAACAAAGUAAACUAUGAUCGUGAAAAGAAACAUAGUAAAAAGAUUUUAAUAAAUGAUGAAGACAAAAAUGGUUUACAUAAGGAUGGAUAUGACCUAGAUUGUGAGUGUGUGAAUAUGCCAAAAGAGCACACAUGUAUUUCUUCAACAGACACUUGUGAGAGAAAGAGUUUGAAAUACCAACACAACAAAGAACGUAAUUUAAACAUGGUACAAGAAAUGAAUACAUACGAAUGGAAUGACAGGAACAAAAAAAACAAUAAAUAUAAUUGUUGUGAACAACUUUUUCCCGGUGUUUCAAAACAAAAAAAUGAAAUAACCAAUAAUUUGUUUGUUAGUAAGAGUAUGAUUCCCCAAUGUGUUUUAAACAACCAUGAAUAUUAUUUACUUAAUAAUGAAGAAGAUGGGGUAAUAAAUGGUUAUAUACAAUGCUUCAAAAGUCAUUUUAAAAUUUUUACAAAUAAUGAAAAAAUAGUCUUUUUAAAAGACUUAUAUUUCGUUAUAAUUAAGAGUAUAUUAUUUUUAUUAAAAAAAUAUGUUUGGUAUAAUAUAAAAAAAAUAUGGAAUAGUUGUAUAAAUAUUUAUGAUUUUUUACUUACUAGUAAAAAGAAUAUAUUUAUAAAAACUAAAAUAUAUGAAAACUUAAUAUAUAUUAUUUAUAAUCAAGAAAAAAAAAAAAAAUAUUUAAGCUUGUCAUUAUUAUUAAAACAUUUCAAAAAUUGUAUAUUUGAAAAAAAUAUAUUAGAAUAUUUAUUCUAUUGUUUUUUUCAUGAAGAUGAUAUGUUUUUAUUUAAUUUGUAUGAGUUAAUAAAGCAAUGUAUUAAAUAUAUUCUUACUAACCAUAAGAAUAAAUAUAUUUUAUAUUAUAUAUUAGUAAAGAACAUUUUAAGUACUAAAACAUUUGGUUUUAGAACAAUAUAUAUAAAAAAAAUAGUUGAAUUAUUUUAUGAAAAUGAUAGUAAUUAUUUAUCUUUUUUGUUAAAUAAAGAGUAUAAAGAUAUAAAUAUAUAUUUUGACAAAAAUUAUGAAGAAAAUAUACAGGCGACAAAAAGUAAAUUGUAUAUAAACAAAAAUAAAAAUAGCAAUAGUGAUAGUAGUAGUGGUAAGAAAGAUGGUGACACUCGUGGUGACAAUGUCAUAUAUUUUAAUAAAUCAAAUGAUGCAUACAAAAUGACAAGUGACAAAUAUUUGCACUUUUUAAAAAAAAAACUUUUUGAAAAGGAUACGGACAUAGACAUAAUAGAAUAUAAUUAUGUUAAGUAUAAAGAAGAAGAAAAUAUUUUUUUAAAUUAUCAAAUUGUACGUACGAAUAAUGGCGCCAAAAAAGGUAGCGAUAUAAAAAGUACCGACGCAACUAAAACAAAAGAAUCAAAACAGGUGAAGCAAAUUCCGACAUCAAAAAAAUAUUUCGUACACAAUUUUCAUACCUUAAAAAAUAUCACCUAUUUAGAAUUAUGUACUUUAUGUAUUAUAAGAAAAUACGUGGAUUGUGAAGUAGUAAAUUACAAAAAUAGGUAUUAUUAUAAAGUAAGUAAUGAACUUUUAUUAAGUGUAGACAAGUUAAAUACUUUUUUUUAUUAUACUAAUGAUGAAAUUAUAUUAUUAAUUUUGUCUUUUAUAUGUGAAAAUAAAUAUCUUAAUGUAUGCGAUUUGUAUUUAUUCUCAACAUUUUUAACGACAUCAAUUAAUAAUAUAUCGAGAAUAAGCAAAGAUGCGUACAGAAAGUACAUACUGUUAUUUUUUGAAAAGUUUUUUAUUUAUUAUCAGAGAAUGGUAGAGUUGGAUCGGAAAACAAAUGGUAAGAUGUGUAGCAUGAUACAUGAUGGUACGUGUGAUAAUGUAUGUGGUUGUGUACGUGAUACAUCGUCAGGUGACUCGAGUAAAAAUGCACAUAAAAAAGAAAAAGAUAUUAACAUGCGAAAAGAACAAAAAACAUAUAUUUACGAAAAUAAGACUAAUAGUGUGAACAUAAAAAAUACACAAAACGAAAGGUUAGAGUAUUGUGACAAUAUAACUAAUAUGGUAUCUGUUUUUUCUUUUCUUUAUGGCAAC